UACGGGGGGGGCAAGCGUUGUUCGGAAUUACUGGGCGUAAAGGGCUCGUAGGUGGCCAACUAAGUCAGACGUGAAAUCCCUCGGCUUAACCGGGGAACUGCGUCUGAUACUGGAUGGCUUGAGUUCGGGAGAGGGAUGCGGAAUUCCAGGUGUAGCGGUGAAAUGCGUAGAUAUCUGGAAGAACAUCGGUGGCGAAGGCGCUCUGCUGGACCAUAACUGACACUCAGGGACGAAAGCUAGGGGAGCGAAUGGG
rnacentral:rRNA from 1 species